rnacentral:rRNA from 1 species
UACGUAGGGUGCGAGCGUUAAUCGGAAUUACUUGGCGUAAAGCGUGCGCAGGCGGUUUUGUAAGCCAGAUGUGAAAUCCCCGGGCUUAACCUGGGAAUGGCAUUUGGGACUGCAAGGCUGGAGUGUGGCAGAGGAGACUGGAAUUCCUGGUGUAGCAGUGAAAUGCGUAGAUAUCAGGAGGAAUACCGAUGGCGAAGGCAGGUCUCUGGGCUAACACUGACGCUCAUGCACGAAAGCGUGGGGAGCAAACAGG